rnacentral:rRNA from 1 species
UGGGGAAUAUUGCACAAUGGGGGAAACCCUGAUGCAGCGACGCCGCGUGAACGAAGAAGGUAUUCGUAUCGUAAAGUUCUGUCCUAUGGGAAGAUAAUGACAGUACCAUAGAAGAAAGCUCCGGUUACAUACGUGCCAGCAGCCGCGGUAAUACGUAUGGAGCGAGCGUUGUCCGGAAUUAUUGGGCGUAAAGGGUACGCAGGCGGUUUAAUAAGUCGAAUGUUAAAAUUCGGGGCUCAACCCCGCAAAGCAUUGGAAACUGAUAAACUUGAGUAGUGGAGAGGAAAGUGGAAUUCCUAGUGUAGUGGUGAAAUACGUAGAUAUUAGGAGGAAUAACAGUAACGAAGGCGACUUUCUGGACACAAACUGACGCUGAGGUACGAAAGCGUGGGGAGCAAACAGG